rnacentral:rRNA from 1 species
UGCCAGCCGCCGCGGUAACACGUAGGAGGCAAACGUUAUCCGGAUUUACUGGGCGUAAAGCGCGUGUAGGUGGUACUGUAAGUAGGGCGUGAAACUCCUGGCUCAACUGGAGAGCCGUUCUANACUGCAGAACUCGAGUUUGAUAGAGGAAGAUGGAAUUCCAGGUGUAGCGGUAAAAUGCGCAGAUAUCUGGAGGAACACCAGUGGCGAAAGCGGUCUUCUGGAUCAAUACUGACACUCAGACGCGAAAGCUAGGGUAGCAAACGGGAUUAGAGACCCCGGUAGUCCUAGCCCUAAACGAUGUAGACUAGGCGUUGGUGGCUUAAACGCCAUCAGUGUCCAAGCUAACGCGAUAAGUCUACUGCCUGGGGACUACGGCCGCAAGGUUAAAACUCAAAGGAAUUGACGGGUCCCCGCACAAGCAGCGGAGCGUGUGGUUUAAUUCGUUGCUACACGAAGAACCUUACCUGGGUUUGACAUAGCAGUGGUAGGGAAGCGAAAGCAGACCGACCCUUCGGGGAGCUGUUACAGGUGUUGCAUGGCUGUCGUCAGCUCGUGUCGUGAGAUGUUCGGUUAAGUCCGCUAACGAGCGCAACCCGCGUGGUGUGUUACAAGUGUCACACCAUACUGCCGAUAUUAAGUCGGAGGAAGGUGCGGAUGACGUCAAGUCAGCAUGACCUCUAUAUCCAGGCCUACACACACGCUACAAUGGUCGGUACAACAGGGUUGCCCAAGCCGCG